UACGUAGGGUGCAAGCGUUGUCCGGAAUUAUUGGGCGUAAAGAGCUCGUAGGCGGUUUGUUGCGUCGGCUGUGAAGACCUGAGGCUCAACCUCAGGCCUGCAGUCGAUACGAGCAGACUAGAGUGUUGCAGGGGAGACUGGAAUUCCUGGUGUAGCGGUGAAAUGCGCAGAUAUCAGGAGGAACACCGGUGGCGAAGGCGGGUCUCUGGGCAACAACUGACGCUGAGGAGCGAAAGCGUGGGGAGCGAACAGG
rnacentral:rRNA from 1 species